GACCUGAUGGUGUAACUGGUUAACACACCUGCUCGAACUAACUCUGCACGCAAAAAGACUUCUGCAGGAGUCCCUGGUUCGAAUCCAGGUCAGGUCA